UAGUGGCGAACGGGUGAGUAACACGUGGGCAAUCUGCCCUGCACUCUGGGACAAGCCCUGGAAACGGGGUCUAAUACCGGAUAACACUGUCCCCCUCCUGGGGGACGGUUGAAAGCUCCGGCGGUGCAGGAUGAGCCCGCGGCCUAUCAGCUUGUUGGUGGGGUAAUGGCCUACCAAGGCGACGACGGGUAGCCGGCCUGAGAGGGCGACCGGCCACACUGGGACUGAGACACGGCCCAGACUCCUACGGGAGGCAGCAGUGGGGAAUAUUGCACAAUGGGCGAAAGCCUGAUGCAGCGACGCCGCGUGAGGGAUGACGGCCUUCGGGUUGUAAACCUCUUUCAGCAGGGAAGAAGCGAAAGUGACGGUACCUGCAGAAGAAGCGCCGGCUAACUACGUGCCAGCAGCCGCGGUAAUACGUAGGGCGCAAGCGUUGUCCGGAAUUAUUGGGCGUAAAGAGCUCGUAGGCGGUCUGUCACGUCGGGU
rnacentral:rRNA from 1 species